GAAGCAGAAGUCCAUGGUUGCACCUCCUGCUCCUUGUUCCAGACUGUGAGAACUGGCAUGGGAAGGAGGCAGCGUCCCCAAAGCAGGAAAUUCCUGAGGAAGGAGACUCCCAGCAUCAUGAGCCCCAGGCAGACUGAGCUGCGUUCUCCUGAGACCACUGAGGUUUGCAGAAACCAAUGGACACAGGACAGUGAAAAAACAGUCCAGUGAGAAGACGGGCAGGAGACAGGAGGAGAUAUUGCACUAAGAAGACUUGCAGAUGGCACGGACAGCUAUCCACAGUUUCACCUCUCCUCCAAAACAACCUGGAUGCUGUCCAAGAUGUAGUAGACGAUGCAUUCUCUCGGCCACCUGCCCAUUCCUUCAAGAGCAUGUAGACUUUGUCCCCAAGAUAUAAGCCCUGGGAGAGGGGGUUGCUGUGCAGAGAUCUACUUGUCUUGUGACCACCCAAGACCACUCCUAUCCAUAAGUCCCCCAGUAAAUCCUUUACCAACAAACUG